rnacentral:rRNA from 1 species
AUUGAACGCUGGCGGCAGGCCUAACACAUGCAAGUCGAGCGGAUGAAGGGAGCUUGCUCCUGGAUUCAGCGGCGGACGGGUGUGUAAUGCCUAGGAAUCUGCCUGGUAGUGGGGGAUAACGUCCGGAAACGGGCGCUAAUACCGCAUACGUCCUGAUGGAGAAAGUGGGGGAUCUUCGGACCUCACGCUAUCAGAUGAGCCUAGGUCGGAUUAGCUAGUUGGUGGGGUAAAGGCCUACCAAGGCGACGAUCCGUAACUGGUCUGAGAGGAUGAUCAGUCACACUGGAACUGAGACACGGUCCAGACUCCGACGGGAGGCAGCAGUGGGGAAUAUUGGACAAUGGGCGAAAGCCUGAUCCAGCCAUGCCGCGUGUGUGAAGAAGGUCUUCGGAUUGUAAAGCACUUUAAGUUGGGAGGAAGGGCAGUAAGUUAAUACCUUGCUGUUUUGACGUUACCAACAGAAUAAGCACCGGCUAACUUCGUG